CCUUCAACUGGUAACGCAAAAGAAUCUAAAAUAAUCAAGGAGGCCCCUUCAACCUUCCCCUGAACAUAGCCCAUUACCUCUAAUGGCAUGCCUUGAGAUACAUGCCGUAACAUUUUCAACAAAGCUACUGCUGAGAUUUUGACAGAACGGAAAAACUCUGGGCUGUUAUUGUUAGCAUUACAGGAUUUAUAAUUUUAAUAAAUUAACGUAGGGAAAAAAAUUCAGAG